GGCGCUGAUGUGUGGGGACCUCUCUGAGCGGUGAGGAGGCUUCCAGUCUCCCUUGCUGAGCC
rnacentral:snoRNA from 1 species